UACAGAGGGUGCAAGCGUUAAUCGGAAUUACUGGGCGUAAAGCGCGCGUAGGCGGUUUGUUAAGUCGGAUGUGAAAUCCCUGGGCUCAACCUAGGCACUGCAUCCGAUACUGGCUGACUAGAGUGUGGGAGAGGAAGGUAGAAUUCCAGGUGUAGCGGUGAAAUGCGUAGAGAUCUGGAGGAAUACCGAUGGCGAAGGCAGCCUUCUGGCCUAACACUGACGCUGAGGUGCGAAAGCAUGGGGAGCAAACAGG
rnacentral:rRNA from 1 species